CCUACGGGGGGCAGCAGUGGGGCAUAUUGCACAAUGGGCGCAAGCCUGAUGCAGCCAUGCCGCGUGUGUGAAGAAGGCCUUCGGGUUGUAAAGCACUUUCAGCGGGGAGGAAGGCGUUAAGGUUAAUAACCUUGGCGAUUGACGUUACCCGCAGAAGAAGCACCGGCUAACUCCGUGCCAGCAGCCGCGGUAAUACGGAGGGUGCAAGCGUUAAUCGGAAUUACUGGGCGUAAAGCGCACGCAGGCGGUCUGUCAAGUCGGAUGUGAAAUCCCCGGGCUCAACCUGGGAACUGCAUUCGAAACUGGCAGGCUAGAGUCUUGUAGAGGGGGGUAGAAUUCCAGGUGUAGCGGUGAAAUGCGUAGAGAUCUGGAGGAAUACCGGUGGCGAAGGCGGCCCCCUGGACAAAGACUGACGCUCAGGUGCGAAAGCGUGGGGAGCAAACAGGAUUAGAUACCCGUGUAGUC
rnacentral:rRNA from 1 species